GCUCUGCUAGUGUAGUGGUUAUCACUCCGGAUUCUGAUCUGUCUCUUCUGAAUUUCCGGCAACCCAGGUUCGAAUCCUGGGCGGAGCU
rnacentral:tRNA from 1 species